rnacentral:rRNA from 1 species
AACGAACGCUGGCGGCAGGCCUAACACAUGCAAGUCGAACGGACCCUUCGGGGUUAGUGGCGCACGGGUGCGGAACACGUGGGAACAUACCCCUUUGGUAAGGAAUAAUAUUUGGAAACGAAUACUAAUACCUUAUAAUAUCUUCGGAUCAAAGAUUUAUCGCCAAAGGAUUGGCCCGCGUCUGAUUAGCUUGUUGGUGAGGUAAUGGCUCACCAAGGCUACGAUCAGUAGGGGGUCUGAGAGGAUGACUCCCCCACACUGGGACUGAGACACGGCCCAGACUCCUACGGGAGGCAGCAGUGAGGAAUAUUGCACAAUGGAGGAACUCUGAUGCAGCCAUGCCGCGUGAGUGAAGAAGGCCUUAGGGGUUGUAAAGCUCUUUCAAUGGUGAAGAUAAUGACGGUAGCCAUAGAAGAAGCCCCGGCUAAAUUCGUGCCAGCAGCCGCGGU